rnacentral:rRNA from 1 species
GCCUGGCCCUAAAUCUUGAUACUUACCCUACCAAAGUAUCCGCCAGAGAACUACGAGCACAAACGCUUAAAACUCUAAGGACUUGGCGGUGCCCUAAACCCACCUAGAGGAGCCUGUUCUAUAAUCGAUAAUCCACGAUCAACCCAACCGCCCCUUGCCAAGCACAGCCUACAUACCGCCGUCGCCAGCCCACCUCGAAUGAGAGCACAACAGUGAGCACAACAGCACCCCGCUAAUAAGACAGGUCAAGGUAUAGCCUAUGAGGCGGAAGAAAUGGGCUACAUUCCCUAUUCAUUAGGGCAGAACGGAAAGAAGCGUGAAACUGCUUCUAGAAGGAGGAUUUAGCAGUAAAGCGGGAUAAUAGAGCCCACUUUAAGCCGGCCCUAGGGCACGU